rnacentral:rRNA from 1 species
CGGCUCAGUAACACGUGGAUAACCUACCCUUGAGACGGGGAUAAACCCGGGAAACUGGGUAUAAUACCCGAUAGAUCUCGACUGCUGGAAUGCAUCGAGCUUGAAAGCUCCGGCGCUCAAGGAUGGGUCUGCGGCCUAUCAGGUAGUAGUGGGUGUAGCGUACCUACUAGCCUACGACGGGUACGGGUUGUGAGAGCAAGAGCCCGGAGAUGGAUUCUGAGACACGAAUCCAGGCCCUACGGGGUGCAGCAGGCGCGAAAACUUUACAAUGCUGGAAACAGCGAUAAGGGGACCUCGAGUGCCAGGUUACAAAUCUGGCUGUCGUGAUGCCUAAAAAGCAUUGCAUAGCAAGGGCCGGGCAAGACCGGUGCCAGCCGCCGCGGUAACACCGGCGGCUCGAGUGGUAACCGUUAUUAUUGGGUCUAAAGGGUCUGUAGCCGGCCGGAUAAGUCUCUUGGGAAAUCUGGCAGCUUAACUGUCAGGCUUUCAGGAGAUACUGUCUGGCUCGAGGCCGGGAGAGGUGAGAGGUACUUCAGGGGUAGGGGUGAAAUCUUGUAAUCCUUGAAGGACCACCAGUGGCGAAGGCGUCUCACCAGAACGGACCUGACGGCAAGGGACGAAAGCUAGGGGCACGAACCGGAUUAGAUACCCGGGUAGUCCUAGC